rnacentral:rRNA from 1 species
CCUACGGGAGACAGCAGUGAGGAAUAUUGGUCAAUGGACGAGAGUCUGAACCAGCCAAGUAGCGUGAAGGAUGACUGCCCUAUGGGUUGUAAACUUCUUUUAUAUGGGAAUAAAACAGGGCAUGCAUACCCUCUUGUAUGUACCAUAUGAAUAAGGAUCGGCUAACUCCGUGCCAGCAGCCGCGGUAAUACGGAGGAUCCGAGCGUUAUCCGGAUUUAUUGGGUUUAAAGGGAGCGUAGGUGGAUUGUUAAGUCAGUUGUGAAAGUUUGCGGCUCAACCGUAGAAUUGCAGUUGAAACUGGCAGUCUUGAGUACAGUAGAGGUGGGCGGAAUUCGUGGUGUAGCGGUGAAAUGCUUAGAUAUCACGAAGAACUCCGAUUGCGAAGGCAGCUCACUGGACUGCAACUGACGCUGAUGCUCGAAAGUGUGGGUAUCGAACAGGAUUAGAUACCCUUGUAGUC